CAAAGGCUAUAGUGGGAAUUAUUUUCUUUGGUCUGAAAGGGAAAAUAUUCAACUCUUCACCAUGAACUGGAAUUAUUGCUGCUGAUAUACAGUUUAGGAGCAUUCCUAUUCCUGGGCUCCCUGAGAGGGUCUCAGCUGUCAGCCAGAUGGUUCUGAGGCCCAGGGCCUGCAGCUACCUCUGUAACCAGUUCCUUCCUCCUUGCAACAUGUGUUUCCUAGCCAAGUGUAAAAUGUCUUGAGAAGUACAAAAAUGAUAGAAGAUGUGAAAGAACUCUGAGAAACGUAGAAGAAACACCAAUGAAAGAUUGGAGAUGAAAGACUGCAACGUGGAAGCCAAGCCAUACAUUAAGAAAGAUGGACAGACAGUGUUGGAAAAAGAACAGCAACUCCUGGGUACAAGAUGACUGUUCCCUAGAAAUGCUGGUUGGGUAAUCAGUAGUCUGACUAAUGUGGAAGAUCACAGCCCAGUAAAAAUGUGUUAUGGCUGAGUGUCUUGCAGUGCAAGCUGGUGCGAAUUAAGUGCUAAACACAUAAAAUAAAUAUAUGAAACUAGUUGUAUCUGCUGUAACUCACACCGCUGCAGGAGCUUUUAAAAGUUGCUAAUAAAAUAAUAAUACAUUUUA